UGGGGAAUAUUGGACAAUGGGGGCAACCCUGAUCCAGCCAUGCCGCGUGUGUGAAGAAGGCCUUCGGGUUGUAAAGCACUUUCGGACGGAACGAAAUCGCGCGCAUGAAUAAUGCGCGUGGAUGACGGUACCGUAAGAAGAAGCACCGGCUAACUACGUGCCAGCAGCCGCGGUAAUACGUAGGUGUCAAACGUUGUCCGGAUUUAUUGGGCGUAAAGCGCCCGCAGGCGGCUUUGUAAGUUCUAAGUGAAAUCUCCCGGCUCAACUGGGAGGGGUCUUGGAAAACUGCAAGGCUUGAGGCAGGGAGAGGGAUGUGGAAUUCCAGGUGUAGCGGUGGAAUGCGUAGAUAUCUGGAGGAACGCCAGUGGCGAAGGCGGCAUCCUGGCCCUGUCCUGACGCUGAGGGGCGAAAGCGUGGGGAGCAA
rnacentral:rRNA from 1 species